rnacentral:rRNA from 1 species
CCUGAGAAACGGCUACCACAUCCAAGGAAGGCAGCAGGCACGCAAAUUACCCACUCCCGGCACGGGGAGGUAGUGACGAAAAAUAACGAUACGGGACUCAUCCGAGGCCCCGUAAUCGGAAUGAGUACACUUUAAAUCCUUUAACGAGUACCAAUUGGAGGGCAAGUCUGGUGCCAGCAGCCGCGGUAAUUCCAGCUCCAAUAGCGUAUAUUAAAGUUGUUGCGGUUANNNNNNNNNAGUUGGAUCUGUGUCUUACGAUGUCGGUUCAUCGCUCGCGGUGUUAACUGGCAUGUCCUGUGGGACGUCCUGCCGGUGGCGGUCCGGGCUCCCGGUGGUGUGUAGGGUCCGCCUGAAGCACCCCGAGGGUUCCGGCCGCCGAUUCAAUCCCGCCGCGGUGCUCUUGACUGAGUGUCGAGGUGGGCCGGCACGUUUACUUUGAACAAAUUAGAGUGCUUAAAGCAGGCUGAUUUCUGCCUGAAUACUGUGUGCAUGGAAUAAUGGAAUAGGACUUCGGUUCUAUUUUGUUGGUUUUAAGAAUCCGAAGUAAUGAUUAAUAGGACAGGCGGGGGCAUUCGUAUUGCUUGGCAAAUGCUUUCGCGGUGAAAUUCUUGGAUCGUCGCAAGACGUACCUAAGCGAAAGCAUUUGCCAAGUAUGUCCUCGUUAAUCAAGAACGAAAGUUAGAGGUUCGAAGGCGAUCAGAUACCGCCCUAGUUCUAACCAUAAACGAUGCCAGCCAGCGAUCCGCCGAAGUUCCUCCGAUGACUCGGCGGGCAGCUUCCGGGAAACCAAAGCUUUUGGGUUCCGGGGGAAGUAUGGUUGCAAAGCUGAAACUUAAAGGAAUUGACGGAAGGGCACCACCAGGAGUGGAGCCUGCGGCUUAAUUUGACUCAACACGGGAAACCUCACCAGGCCCGGACACCGGAAGGAUUGACAGAUUGAUAGCUCUUUCUUGAUUCGGUGGGUGGUGGUGCAUGGCCGUUCUUAGUUGGUGGAGCGAUUUGUCUGGUUAAUUCCGAUAACGAACGAGACUC